rnacentral:rRNA from 1 species
UGGGGAAUAUUGGACAAUGGGCGCAAGCCUGAUCCAGCCAUGCCGCGUGAGUGAUGACGGCCUUAGGGUUGUAAAGCUCUUUCGCUCGGGACGAUAAUGACGGUACCGAGAUAAGAAGCCCCGGCUAACUUCGUGCCAGCAGCCGCGGUAAUACAGAGGGGGCAAGCGUUGUUCGGAAUUAUUGGGCGUAAAGGGUGCGUAGGCGGUGCGGUAAGUCUUCUGUGAAAUCUCCGGGCUCAACUCGGAGUCUGCAGGAGAAACUGCCGUGCUUGAGUAUGGGAGAGGUGAGUGGAAUUCCUGGUGUAGCGGUGAAAUGCGUAGAUAUCAGGAGGAACACCUGUGGCGAAAGCGGCUCACUGGACCACAACUGACGCUGAGGCACGAAAGCUAGGGGAGCAAACAGGAUUAGAUACCCUGGUAGUCCUAGCCCUAAACGAUGAUUGCUUGGUGUAGCAGGUACCCAAUCCUGCUGUGCCGCAGCUAACGCGUUAAGCAAUCCGCCUGGGGAGUACGGUCGCAAGGCUG